GAGCAUGUGGUUUAAUUCGAAGCAACGCGAAGAACCUUACCAGGUCUUGACAUACUCGUGCUAUUCCUAGAGAUAGGAAGUUCCUUCGGGACACGGGAUACAGGUGGUGCAUGGUUGUCGUCAGCUCGUGUCGUGAGAUGUUGGGUUAAGUCCCGCAACGAGCGCAACCCCUAUUGUUAGUUGCCAUCAUUAAGUUGGGCACUCUAACGAGACUGCCGGUGAUAAACCGGAGGAAGGUGGGGAUGACGUCAAAUCAUCAUGCCCCUUAUGACCUGGGCUACACACGUGCUACAAUGGAUGGUACAACGAGUCGCGAGACAGUGAUGUUUAGCUAAUCUCUUAAAACCAUUCUCAGUUCGGAUUGUAGGCUGCAACUCGCCUACAUGAAGUCGGAAUCGCUAGUAAUCGCGGAUCAGCACGCCGCGGUGAAUACGUUCCCGGGCCUUGUACACACCGCCCGUCACACCACGGGAGUUGGGAGUACCCGAAGUAGGUUGCCUAACCGCAAGGAGGGCGCUUCCUAAGGUAAGACCGAUGACUGGGGUGAAGUCGUAACAAGGUACCAGUAUCUGCUGAAAAACCAGCUAGAGACGUAACUAACAAACCGU
rnacentral:rRNA from 1 species